rnacentral:rRNA from 1 species
UUUUAUUUGAGAGUUUGAUCCUGGCUCAGGAUGAACGCUGGCGGCGUGCUUAACACAUGCAAGUCGAGCGAAGCACUUAAGAAUGAUUCUUCAGAUGAAUUUUUUUGUGACUGAGCGGCGGACGGGUGAGUAACGCGUGGGUAACCUGCCUCAUACAGGGGGAUAACAGUUAGAAAUGACUGCUAAUACCGCAUAAGCGCACAGUGCCGCAUGGCACCGUGUGA